UGUUUAUGACGUCGACGUCAUAAACACCUAAGUUGGUCGUGUUUAUGACGUCGAAUAUCGACGUCAUAUACACCAAAGUUGAUCGUGUUUAUGACGUCCAAUAUCGACGUCAUAAACACCUAAGUUGAUCGUGCUUAUGAGGUCAAAAAUCGACGUCAUAAACAUCUAAGUUGAUCGUGUUUAUGACGUCGAAUAUCGACGUCAUGAACACCAAAGUUGAUCGUGUUGAUUACGUCGAAUAUCGACGUCAUAACCGCCUAAGUUGGUCGUGUUUAUGACGUCGAAUAUCGACGUCAUAAACACCUAAGUUGAUCGUGUUUAUGACGUCGACGUCAUAAACA